AAGAGAAAUGUAACUAUCAAAGAGAGACAGAUGGAGAGGGUGACCCCGGAUCCACCAAGCAGCAUGUGUGGCUGUGUGGUGAGGGAGAAGAUAAGUUGGUGCCACACUUUGGUGUUGGCACUUAACCGGAAUGAUGGCCUUCACUAUCACAUGGAGACACCUGUAGCCAGCUGGGCAGGAAGCUGCAGUGAGGAAGCAUAAAGAAGCCUCACCGGGGCUCUUCUGGGUUGCAGAGCUUGAAUAUGGAAGUUGGUUGGACAUACAAAUGGUGCCACGGCUUCAAAUCUUGCAGUCUUCCCUGACAGCGGAUGCCUCUGAACACACUUCUUCCAGAACAGCAAAAGAAGUUUUGAGCCACUGGCUUGAGGAGUUUUUCAUGUCUUUAAUCCUCAAGCCCACCAACUCUCUGCAGAUCUCUUGGGGUGAUCUCAGAAGCAGACCCACUUGACCCAGCCCUCUCUGCUCUGUCCCUCUCACAGUGGUUCAGGAGUGUCCUGGAGUGCUCACACCAGGACUGGAGAGGUUAAAACACCACGGGAAGGCUCAGACACCCUCUAACAUGGCCAUCAGCAGUGAACUACAAACAGACAGACAAAACCUGCAAGUUCCCAUCUGUCCCUGAAGUGGCCAGUUUGUGAUGCAAAACUCUGCUUCGAGGAC
rnacentral:lncRNA from 1 species